UUGAACUGGUGAAAUAAGUGUGCGGUCAGCAGAAGGUCCUGGCCAGCGCAGGUUUGCAUCAUGGUAUGGGGAAAGUUGGAGCAAGCGGGAACGAACCGUUAUGGCAGUCAAAGGCAAGAUUUCCUCCCGCCUGCAGAAGCUAAAAGGUACGGAGCUUUCCCUGGGGAUCAGCCCGCGUGCUGACGUGCUAACGCAGGAGGAUUCGGCAGCUGGAGCCUCUGAAGGUUUCAUGCUUGAGGGCCAGGGGCCUGAUCCUGCCGCUGUCUCACCCAGGAGCUGGUGUUUUCCGGAGGAUGAAGGUGGCUUCUCGCUAGCGAGAAAUGGGAUGAAAGGGGGAGCGAGCCCAACCACAAACGCACGCGUGCAUCCAUCAGCGUUAAGCGUUCCUUGUUUUUAACCUCCAUCAGCUUGAGGAUUACAGCGUCCUAAAGAGGGAAUGAUUCAGAAAUGGCCGGAGUCGUGGCAGAGGGAGGGGAGGACGAGCAGAGGAGGCUGGAAGGAAGCUGAACGCUGUGGGGUUGCACAGGGUGUGAACUGGGGCUUGGGCAGGUUCCCCUGCUGGUAAACGUGCUUAGCCAUGGUGAGCUUAUUAAGACCCAACCGAAGAUGUAAGGUAUUUGGCUCAUUAUAAUCAAAUCUCGUUGAUUUCCAUCCCUGUUUAAUUACAGGAAAAUGCACGCCAGGCUCCUUUUCCCUGAAGGCAGCAGCGCUGGCUCCCUGGCAAACCCCCACCUAUAGCUCCAGGAGGCUUCUGCCCCCGCGCCGUCUCCCUGCUGAGGUUUGCACACCCCAGGCACCCUGGAGGACAGCAAGAGCCGCUCGGACGCCUUCGAGCAGAGGUGGUGACGCCGUGCCCUGUGGCCACCCCACAGCCCUGAGCUCGGGCACCCCCUGCCCCAGCUUGGCAGCGGGGGCAGGACCUUCCUGAGGUGUCCUGGUGGAUCUGCGGGGUCAGAAAGCUGCUGGCGCCGGUGCUCUGCAUGCUGCAUCCCAGGAGGGCAGCUGCGCUUAAGGGAAUAUGGAUUAAAUAUUCAUAUACUUCAGGCGCAUGCCUCAUGUCGACCAGGAGCCUAGGAGCCUCAGCUUUCAGUUUGGUUGUCAGAAAAGAUAGGCUUCACCUUCCAGAGUACCUGCCUUUCUCCAUGGUCCCUGUACAGGCUUGGUGUACGUACAUAUAUAUAUCUAAAACAUAUAAAUUACAACACUACAUGUGUAUAUAUGUAGUGUUGCAUUGUGCCUGGCUGGGUUGGAGUUAAUUUUCUUCAGAGCAGACUGCAUGGUGCUGCGUAAGGUUUUUUUAUAUCUAGUGUGUGUGUGUGUAUAAAUAUAUAUAUAUGUAAUCCUUAAAUAGAUUUGUAAAUCCUUCCGCUACUCUGAAAACUCGUCGUGUAACCAGAUUGCUUCACUACGGCCAAAAAAGGAGAAAAUAACCCAAAUAAUAUUCGUUUUAGGGUACAGUUCUUUGAAGUGGUGACAGAGGUGAGAUGAGCAAGGAGGUAGGACGUGUCGUGCCCCGGUGUCGUGCGGUGAGACCGUUUUUGAGGUGCCACAGCCUAGAUGCUUUGUUUCUAUGCUUUCUCCUUAGCUUAAAGCUUCGUGGAUUUGUAUGCGCCAGCCCCUGCUUCCCUGCUGUCCCUGCCGCAGCUGGCUCACCCUCCUGGCUCGAUCACCCCAACAAUCCCAGCUGCUCCUCCCUCCUCUGGCACACUUCUGGGUGAACGAGGCAAGGUUUGGCAUUGGUGACCAUACGCCAGCCUUCCCGUUGUCAGAUCCAAUUUCUCAAAUCUUUUCCACGCUCCUCCUUUACAAAAUGACCUUAGAGAGCUUCAAAAGUAAAGCUAGGAGGCAGGACUUUGCUUCAGUCCCCCAGCCUGAUGUGGAGGCUGACCCAUAAUACUAUUUCGUAACAUCUACAAAAUAAACUGGAGAGCAGAGAUCUUGGCCUCUCUUGA
rnacentral:lncRNA from 1 species